CACUGAGUUGUUUAUCGUAUUACAUCAUUCGAUGCGUUAAACCCUAGCGCUCUAUCGAUGCUGCUGCGCGCCGAGUGAUCAUGUCGUCGGAGUCUGAGCAGUUCGCCCGUGGAGCGGAGGCGAAGAGCAUUGAGCUUGCCGAGAGGGAAACAAUUCACGUUUGAAGAUAGCGAAAGUGAUAACCACUCGAGCAUCUAAACCUGUUGUGGGCUCAUCCAUGAAUAUGAUAGAAGGGCUUGAAACUAACUCCACUGCGAUUGUUAGACGUUUGCGCUCUUCUGCGGCAAGGCCAUUUACUCCUGGAAGUCUGCAACGUUCUUUCUGUCGGGACAUUUGAAGCCCAUCCAUUCAAAAUAUUUAAGGGCAUGUUCUCUUGGUCCUUGGUAAGCAAUUUUUCCCUCACAUAGAAGGAUUAUAUCAUCAAAUAGAUCAAAUGUUUCUUGAGUAGGCUGAAGCAAAGAUAUAACCAUGGUGAAAUCCAAAGCAUGUGUAAGCUGCUGCAGAAACUUGAGAAUCUGAAAGGUAGUGGAGCUAUCAAGCCCUGUGGAAAUGUCAUCCAUGAAAAAACAUUGUGCUAGUCCUACCAGCAUUUCACCUGCAGAUAUUCCCCUUCUCAUAUGAUCACCUAUUAUUAUGUUUGCACACUCAUCCAAGCCAAGUAUCUGAAAGAGC